rnacentral:miRNA from 1 species
ACACACACAGAUACAGAGGCGAC